GAGGGGGGGGUACUGUCACGGUCCGUGGUGAGCCUCCUGCAUUUCACCUGUAUUUUCUGAGCAUUGUUUUCAGGUGAGCGUGUCUGAGAGUCUGAGAGUCUCCAGCUGCAGCCAAUCCAGUCAUUACGGCCCAGGGGAUUUAAGGAGCAGUGUGGCACUUCACUUCGCCGGAUGAUUACUCUAUCUUGGGUUUCUCUUUCACACUCCACCACCUCCAUAACCAGCUUGGACUCCUGCACACCAGAUCACGCCGUCUCCUCCCCUGGCCGCUCGCUCUCAGCCGCUCACCUGCCUCCACCAAACCGCUGCUCCUACCUACUCUCUGGACCAACAGUCCCAUCACCUUCUGGAGCUUUCCUGCUCACCCGGACCUGACCAGUCCCUCCGGAGGUUCUCACCACUACUGCAAUCAAGUUCCAUCCUGAAAUCUUGCUGCCAGCCUGCCCGCCGUCUGUUCCCCUCGUUGCCCUUCAGUACAUAAUAAAGUCGUUUUACUUACUUACCGGUUCCUGUGUGGUGAUUCUGCAUGUCGUGGGUCAAAAGAUUGCCGCCCGCCAUGACAGUCCUCAUGUUCCACUUAACUUUUUAAUUUCCCCAAGGGAGUUAUUCUCUCACCUGUGCAUGUUUUCAGUUUUACUGUAGUGCGUUUUAAUUUUGGGUUGGGACAUUUACCUCUGUAAUCUUCAUAUGAGAUCAGUGAGAGCACAGACCCAGUGUCCAGCUCCGUCCGUAACCCAACCCUUUCACCUUUGGUGUGAUCCACAUUGCAUCAUCAUUUUUCUUUUGCAGUGAGUACAACUCCAUGACUGUUAGAGAAGCAUUUCAGGUGACUGCCUCUUGAAGCUCAUCAAGAGAACGCCAAGAGUGUGCAAAGCAGUAGUCAGAGCAAAGGGUGGC